GAAAAAUCACCCCAGCUACAUCUGAGCACGAAGCAAAGGACAGAAAAGGAGCAUUCCCGGGCAUCCUCGGGACCCCAAAGAGCAAGAGCUGCACAAAAACUAGCAGUCAGGGUACAGCAGUCACUUAACCUCUCUGGAUAACAUGGGAAGGCAAGGAACACUCCUCAUUUCUGAGGCAGCUUUCUGGUUUUCCAGGGGUCAUCUGAGUGCAGGCACCUGUAAUCCUUUGGAGGCGAAGAGGCUGCUGUGUGGGCUCUGCUGCCAUUCCAAGCUGUAGACCUUGAGCAUGAGGUACAGAUGCAAAUGUAUGCCGACUUCUCA